rnacentral:rRNA from 1 species
UACGGAGGGUGCAAGCGUUAAUCGGAAUUACUGGGCGUAAAGCGCACGCAGGUGGCUGAGUCAGUCGAUUGUGAAAGCCCUGGGCUUAACCUGGGAAUUGCAGUCGAUACUACUCAGCUAGAGUAUGGGAGAGGGUAGUGGAAUUCCCGGUGUAGCGGUGAAAUGCGUAGAUAUCGGGAGGAACAUCAGUGGCGAAGGCGGCUACCUGGCACAAUACUGACACUCAGGUGCGACAGCGUGGGGAGCAAACAGG